rnacentral:tRNA from 1 species
GUCUUCAUGAUGCAAUGGUAGCACACUCGGUUCGUAUUCGAGAGGUCUAGGUUCGAGUCCUGGUGAAGGCA